rnacentral:tRNA from 1 species
AAGUCGGUGGCUGAGAAUUAAGCUUUAGAUUUUUACUCUAACUACGGUAAUAACCCCGACUUA